rnacentral:misc_RNA from 1 species
UCCCCCAGAGUGAACAGCAG